UACGUAGGGCGCAAGCGUUAUCCGGAAUUAUUGGGCGUAAAGAGCUUGUAGGUGGUUUGUCGCGUUGUUCGUGAAAUCUCACGGCUUAACUGUGAGCGUGCGGGCGAUACGGGCAGACUAGAGUACUGCAGGGGAGACUGGAAUUCCUGGUGUAGCGGUGGAAUGCGCAGAUAUCAGGAGGAACACCGGUGGCGAAGGCGGGUCUCUGGGCAGUAACUGACGCUGAGAAGCGAAAGCGUGGGGAGCGAACAGG
rnacentral:rRNA from 1 species